GUUCUGUCCUAGGGUCUCAGGGUGGGGGGGGGGCAUACAACAGGGCACCUACCAUCUUCAAUCUACUGCGUAGUGAUGGAUCAGGGAGGCGCCAUGGCCUUGGAUCGGGGGUGUGCAGGGUCCCCCUCCGGAGCCUUGACGGCAAUCAGCCGGAGAUCUGCAUUGGGGCCGCCUGCAGAGGCCUUGGAGGCGGAGUCCACGAGCAUAGGCGGAGUGUUUCCGGGGGCAGCCUCUGUGCGGCGCUGGCCCUGGGAGCCUGCGGGAGGGAUGCUGGGGUUUCUUGGCAGAGCGCGAGGGUCGUGAGGGACAUCACAG
rnacentral:lncRNA from 1 species